rnacentral:lncRNA from 1 species
CAUUAUUGCUUUCCAGGAAGUGGUAGGGAUGACAAAAAAGCAUAUUCCAACAGGGCUUUGGAGAGGAUAAAGUCCAAGAGGGAUAGGAACAUGCUAUUGUGAUCAGAAAGAAAAAUCAAACAAAAAGAAGAGGCCAAAGGAAAGGAUAUGGUCAGAAAAAAAAAUCAAACAAAAAGAAGAAGGUGAUAAAGGAAAACAGACGAUAGUGGUUCCUAUCAAGAUCUUAGAGAAAGAGAACAUUAAGGGAGACAAAUUGGAGUGAUAUCCAACUAAUCAGAAGCUGGAUGUAGCUGAAGGACUUCUUGUUCUAAUUUAUCUGGCUGUGUCUUCACUGAGCGGAAGUAUGCUGACUGUUUUACAUGUGGUAGCUACAAAAAUCUCAUAAAAUGUAGAGCAGGAUGCCUAGAGGAAACUGAGGCUGAGAAAGAUGCAAUAACUUGCUGAAUAUCACAGAAA